ACCUUGCUGAAGAGUGCCAAAUAACACGAAACCAAGGUCCAGGGU
rfam:Schistosoma mansoni strain Puerto Rico chromosome 1, complete genome